rnacentral:rRNA from 1 species
UACGAAGGGGGCUAGCGUUGUUCGGAAUCACUGGGCGUAAAGGGCGCGUAGGCGGCCUUUCAAGUCGGGGGUGAAAGCCUGUGGCUCAACCACAGAAUUGCCUUCGAUGCUGUUAGGCUUGAGACCGGAAGAGGUGAGUGGAACUGCGAGUGUAGAGGUGAAAUUCGUAGAUAUUCGCAAGAACACCAGUGGCGAAGGCGGCUCACUGGUCCGGUUCUGACGCUGAGGCGCGAAAGCGUGGGGAGCAAACAGG